rfam:Oryctolagus cuniculus chromosome 2, whole genome shotgun sequence.
UAAGCCCUGCUCAGAAGUCAAGAGCAGCAGCGCCGCCGCACCGCCUGGCCUUUCAUGCCGCAGCCGCUCCUUAUUCUUGUGCCUCGGCCUCUCCGGGUGCCCCGGGACAAAGCUCCUGGAGCCCGAUAGCUCCCUUCCCGCUAAAUCCCCUUCGGGGUCAGUGCGUCACCAGCACCGGGCCCUGCGCCUCUCCUGCCAGCCCUGUGGCUCUUAAAGAGCCGCACCCCCCCCCCCCCCAUACACACCCUUGGCGAUCCCCCCACCCCCAGCCUCCCCGCCCCUCUCCUCUGGAUCUAGCUCCCCACGCCAGCCUGCUGCCCCAAC